rnacentral:rRNA from 1 species
GGGGGGGGGUGGGGGGGGGGGGGGGGGGGGGGGGGGGGAGGGGGGCGGCGGGGGGGGUGGCGGGCGGGGGAGGAGCGGGGGGGAAGCUGGGUUGGGGGUCGGGACAACGCCUGGGAACGGUGGCUAAUACCGGAUGUGGCGAGGGGUAAAAGAGAAAUGGCCUGAAGAUGAGCUCGCGUCUGAUUAGCUAGUUGGUGAGGUAAAGGCUCACCAAGGCAGCGAUCAGUAGCUGGUCUGAGAGGAUGACCAGCCACACUGGGACUGAGACACGGCCCAGACUCCUACGGGAGGCAGCAGUGGGGAAUUUUCCGCAAUGGGCGAAAGCCUGACGGAGCAAUACCGCGUGAGGGAAGAAGGCUCUUGGGUUGUAAACCUCUUUUCUUAGGGAAGAACAAAAUGACGGUACCUAAGGAAUCAGCAUCGGCUAACUCCGUG